rnacentral:lncRNA from 1 species
GAGCGGCCCCGCCCCCGCGCCGGGCGGAGCUGCGGGAGAAGGCUGGGCGGCCGCCCGUGUGCUGCAGGAGUCUGCUGCUGGGACGUUUCCAUGCCCGCUUCUUCCCUUUAUUCCCUUCUUCAUCUCUUUUAUUUCCCUUUCAUUCCUCCCAUUCUUUCCUUCUCCCUCCUCUUUCCCUUCCUCUUUCCUUCCUUUUCCCUCGCCUUUUCCUUUCUUUCUUCCCUCCCUACAUCCUUCUCUUCCUUUCUUUCCUUCUCUCCCUUCCUCCAUCUCUUCGUCUUUCCCUCUCUCCUUCUUUCUCCCACUUUCCUUCCUCUCUCCUCUCUUUUCUCCCGCCGUUCUGCUUCCUUCCCUUUUAAUUUUUCCCCUUAAAAAAUUGUUUUUAAACUGUUUUGAACUGUGGUAAAAAACAUAAAAUUUAUCAUCUUAACCAUUUUUGUUUUUAAAGAUUUGCUGUGAGCUAACAUCUGUUGCCAGUAUUCUUUUUAAAUUCUUCCUCUUCUCCGCAAAGCCCCCCAGUACAUGGUUGUAUCUUCUAGUUGUGAGUGCCUCUGGUUGUGGCAUGUGGGACGCCGCCUCAAGCGUUGCCUGAUGAGCCGUGCCAUGUCCGCGCCCAGGAUCCCAACUAGCAAAACCCCCUGGAUGGGAAAGCGGAGCAUGAACCCAAACACUUGCCCGCAGGCUGGCCCCCCAUCUGAACCAUUUUUGAGCAUAUGGUUCCGUGGUGUUGAGUACAUUCACAUUGUUGUCAGCCAUCUCCAGAACUCUUCAUCCUGCAGAACAGAAACUCUAGACCUGUUGAAUAACGACAACCAUUUCCCCCUCCUCCCAGCCUCUCGUAACCACGUUCUACUCUUUUUUUCUUCAUUCUUCCUUUUGCCUUUCUGUGCCUUUCUCCCUUUUCCUUUAUCUCUCCUUUUUCUUCCCCUCCCUCUUUCCGUCUUUCUCUUCUUAAAAGCCUGAUGGCCCUGAUUCACCCUUGCCAGCCCUCCACAGCCUCUGCCAGGGGCUGGGCCAGAGGCCUGUCAGCCAGGGCUGUGAGCGCGGAUCUUUUUGGUGAAUGCCUUGGAGGUUUGGGUUCAGUGGACUUUGACUGCGUGUCUCCAGAAAGCUCAGCACAUGCCUCCUGAAGCAGAUAUCCAGCCGGCUGAAGCUUGCUGCCGUGGAACCAAUCGUGAGACCGUUGCACAGUGGUGUCUGCGUGAGAUCAGUGCAAUACCGUGAAGAGUCCGCUUGAUUUGGGGGAAGUGCUCGCACAGCAGUCAAGAGGUCUAGAUGUGAGCCUGACUCUGCCACUAAAGCUGUGUGACAUUGUCUAAGUGUCUGCCUCUCUCUGGGGCUCGAUUUCUUUCUCUGUGUAGUGAGGGUGGGGUCAGACAAAUGCUGAGGAGCUUUCUAGCACUGACCUUCAAUGAUUCUUGUAGGCAGACACUGUGACACAUGUGUCUUGGCUCCCGUAUCCCCAACCCAGGACCUGGUGUAGCACCAGAAACAAAAUAGGUACUAAGCAAAUGCUUAUUAGAUGCACAGCUAAAGGAAUUGCUCAGGAGAUAAAUGACAAUAACACCCC